AUUGAACGCUGGCGGCAGGCCUAACACAUGCAAGUCGAACGAGUGGCGGACGGGUGAGUAAUGUAUGGGAAACUGCCUGAUGGAGGGGGAUAACUACUGGAAACGGUAGCUAAUACCGCAUACCAUCAGAUGUGCCCAGAUGGGAUUGGCUAGUUGGUGGGGUAACGGCUCACCAAGGCGACGAUCCCUAGCUGGUCUGAGAGGAGGACCAGCCACACUGGAACUGAAACACGAGACAGACUCCUACGGGAGGCAGCAGAGGAGAAGAUUGCACAAUGGGCGCAAGCCUGAUGCAGCCAAGCCGCGUGUAUGAAGAAGGCCAUCGGGUUGUAAAGUACUUUCAGCGGGGAAGCGUUACCCGCAGAAGAAGCACCGGCUAACUCCGUGCCAGCAGCCGCGGUAAUAC
rnacentral:rRNA from 1 species